CCUACGGGAGGCAGCAGUGGGGAAUAUUGGGCAAUGGGCGCAAGCCUGACCCAGCAACGCCGCGUGAAGGAUGAAGGUUUUCGGAUUGUAAACUUCUGUCGCGCGGGACGAAGAAUGUCGGUACCUCGUAAGAAAGCCUCGGCUCACUACGUGCCAGCAGCCGCGGUAAUACGGAGGGGGCAAGCGUUGACCGGAAUGACUGGGCGUAAAGGGAGUGUAGGCGGCUCAUCAAGUUAGAUGGGAAAUCCCGCGGCUUAACCGCGGAACUGCAUCUAAAACUGGUAAGCUGGAGUGGAGGAGAGGUGAGUGGAAUUCCGGGUGUAGCGGUGGAAUGCGUAGAUAUGAGGAGGAACACCAGAGGCGAAGGCGACUCACUGGACUGAAACUGACGCUGAGGCUCGAAAGCGUGGGGAGCAAACAGGAUUAGAUACCCGAGUAGUC
rnacentral:rRNA from 1 species